rnacentral:misc_RNA from 1 species
CUCCCCUCAGCGCCCCGCGGCGCUGGUGUUGGGGCACCCCCCGCCUGGCGGAGGGGGCCCUCAAAGCCAGUGGCGGGCCCGGCUGGUUGGCUCCGAGCGCAGUACUGGACGCACGUCCUCCCCUCGCUCCGCAGCCCCGGCCGGCGCCCAGCCGUCGAAACACCCCCUUCUCGCAAGG